UACGGAGGGUGCGAGCGUUGUCCGGAAUCACUGGGCGUAAAGGGCGCGUAGGCGGCCUGAUAAGUAGGGGGUGAAAUCCUGCGGCUUAACCGCAGGGCUGCCUUCUAAACUGUCAGGCUGGAGCACAGUAGAGGCAGGUGGAAUUCCCGGUGUAGCGGUGGAAUGCGUAGAGAUCGGGAAGAACACCGGUGGCGAAGGCGGCCUUCUGGGACAGUGACUGACGCUGAGACGCGAAAGCGUGGGGAGCAAACAGG
rnacentral:rRNA from 1 species